UGGUGCGAAAUUCCACGUGACCUUUGACUUUGCGGGAAUUCUGAGAUCACACGCGCUGUGCAUGCAAGCCAAGGAUGAGCAUUAAACACACAUCUUUAAAUAAUUUCUGCAAAUACCACAUCAUAAACACGAAGGAUGAUGGUUAUGUUGCUGUCAACAAAAGAUACGUGAUAGCAGCGUUAACUUAUACACGGUCUAACUAACAAACACACGAUUACGAUCGAUCAAUUUAAUUGGAUGUAUAAGUAGAGUGAUGCUUUACCCUUUGUGCUACACCAGGUUUGAAGCUCCAAGUUUCUGAGAAACAAAGGUACCCCAUUUG